UCUCCCUUUUCUCUUUCUCUCCAGCCAUUCCAACGACAGAACCAUGCGUUUUACCCCUAUACACUCGGCCGAUGCACAUGCGCUCCUCUUUCUCUUUUCAUAUCCCUCUAAUAUGCCAGUAGGGGCUGCCCAUUGUAUACCACGUGUGGCACUUUAAAAUUUUCCAUCUCUUUCCUUACUCCACUCGGCUAAUUAUUGUUACUAUGUUAAUUAUUUACCAUUAUUAUUGACAAUGAUGACGUAAAAUCGAUUCCAAUUAAAAUUUGCUAAAAGCAUACAUAGUUUUCUCAAUGGUUACGUUAUAGAAGCGGCGAGAUUCCUCACGAUCUUCACUGUGGACAGGAGGACAAUACAUUUGGGAAUUGCGAAAGAUGACACGGCCAAUGUAGAGAAAAAAAAAUGUAAUACCGUCCGAUGUUUCUUUUGAAUUUGUGGUUUCCAUUCCAUCCGGCUCGUGCUCUCCAAAACACCACAGGAAAUAUCCCCCCGUUACUGAAGUGUCCUAGAAGGUGAGCGUCCGGGGGCCCAUUGAGUUUCGGGUUACAUCGAAGCAAGACAGGCGCAUAGCUAAAGCAGAAAAAAACACAUCUGUGGAACAAAAUAAGAAAGAGCAAAAGAGGAAGACAGGGCGUGAAAAUUCCAGUGAUGAAGAGUAUUGAGGAGAGCUAAAAUGGAGUAUGAAUCUCGUCGCUGUUUCGUCCAGUGACGUUAGAGACAGUAUUCUGUAAAUAGAUGAGCCCCAGGUUCCCCCCAAUGUGGUCCGAAAAUAAAGUGUACUUCUCCAUGGAAUUAACAACGUUUCUCAUUGGCACACUAACUGACAGAAUUACUCAACUAUUUUGCAUGUUGGCAGAUAUUUUGUCAAUAUCACAUAAUCUAUUCGCCCAUUCCACUAAAUAAUAUUUAAUUAUCCAUUCUUUGUUGCUGUUUUCACAAUAGUGUAAAAUCAUUGUUUUUACAUCUGCAUUCAACUAUUCUUCUAGAAUAAUAAAAAUUCCAUCCAUUAUAUUGGACAAAAUUUCGAAACACUUGACACAUCGCGCAGACCAUCGAGCAAUUGUGCAAAUACCACACUUGUACAAUAUACAUUCGUUGUUGAAACUCCAUUAUUGAAUGAUUGCUGAUAAGAGAAGUAAAAUAGGGCGUAUUUAAGUUUUUUUUUUUUGAUUGAAUUUGAGUUUUUUUUUUCAAUAAUUAUACUGCAGAUAUGAUGGUUUUUUAAAAUCUAUUUAUUCCGAAAUGUAAGUCUAUAAAAUAGACGUAUAUGAUUCUAUAAUGGAUAAUUCCGAAAAAAUAUAGAAAUGAUAAUUCAAUAAGUAAUAUUAAGGUGUACAUGCAAUCCAUCUCAAUUCUUUGUCAAUUUUUUAACUCUUAGUACUAUUUUUUUUCUCCUCUUUGGUAUUGUUAAUAAUAUAAUUGUACAUUUGUUUGGGAAAGAACUAAACUUGAAGG